AGCUUUACUUUCAAAUUGAUCAAGAUGCUGGGAUGGCAUCAACUAAAUUGAAAGCUCUGAUUGAUCUUUUUGAUGAAAUAGUAGAAGAACCCCUUUUCAAUCAACUGAGGACAAAGGAGCAGCUUGGUUAUGUUGUUGAAUGCAGCCCACGUUUAACAUACCGUGUUUUUUGGGUUUUGUUUCUGCGUUCAGUCAUCUGAGUACAACCCCAUUUACUUGCAAGGAAGAAUUGAUAACUUCAUAGAUGGCCUGGAACAAUUGUUGGAAGGACUUGAUGGCGAUUCCUUUGAGCACUAUAGAAGUGGGUUGAUGGCAAGGCUAUUGGAAAAAGAUCCGUCACUUACGUAUGAAACCAGUAGAUUUUGGAAUCAGAU